GACAGAGGGUGCAACCGUUGUUCGGAAUUACUGGGCGUAAAGCGUGUGUAGGCGGCCAUUCAAGUCGGAUGUGAAAGCCCCGGGCUCAACCCGGGAAGUGCACCCGAAACUGGAUGGCUUGAGUAUCGGAGAGGUUGGUGGAAUUCUCGGUGUAGAGGUGAAAUUCGUAGAUAUCGAGAGGAACACCGGUGGCGAAGGCGGCCAACUGGACGAAUACUGACGCUGAGACACGAAAGCGUGGGGAGCAAACAGG
rnacentral:rRNA from 1 species